UAUGUGAUCGUCUCUCGCAUAUCAAUAAGCGGAGGAAAAGAAACUAACAAGGAUUCCCCUAGUAACGGCGAGUGAAGCGGGAAGAGCUCAAAUUUGAAAUCUUAAAGGGUUUCCCUUUACGAAUUGUAGUUUAAAGAAGUGUUUUCUGUUGAGGUUUUGGUAAAAGUUCUUUGGAAUAGGACAUCAUAGAGGGUGAGAAUCCCGUAUUUGACCUUUACUUUCAACUUUGUGAUACACUUUCAAAGAGUCGGAUUGUUUGGGAAUGCAGUCCAAAAUGGGUGGUAAAUUUCAUCUAAAGCUAAAUAUUGGCGAGAGACCGAUAGCGAACAAGUACCGUGAGGGAAAGAUGAGAAGAACUUCGAAAAGAGAGUUAAACAGUACGUGAAAUUGUCAAAAGGGAAGCGUUUGACACCAGUGUUGUUUUUCUGAAAAUCAAUUAAAGAACUGUUUAUGCUAAGCUGUUUAGACUUUAUCAGCUAUCUGUUUAGUUUUGAGCUUUUCUUUAAUGCACUUUUCAGUUAACAAGUCAACAUCAAUUUCUUUUGCUGUAAAAAAGCUUGAGGAAGGUGGCUUGAGAUUCGUCUUAAGUGUUUAUAGCCUCUUGCCUAUGCAGUCGGAGAGAUUGAGGUCUGCAGCGUAGAUCCUUCGGGGCUAAAUGCAUUUGUGCUAAGUUAUAGCAUUUUAUAGACAACUUGUUGACUAUGAUUUGUCUUGUAGCUUACUCGCUUAUGCUAUUUUACCUACGCUUAGGAUGUUGAGUCAUCAGCACAUCUCU
rnacentral:rRNA from 1 species